rnacentral:misc_RNA from 1 species
GCCGUAGAAAAAGGAAGCGUGGAGCAAGUGGAUCUCUAGAGCAAAAGUAUGAUGCAAUUAGUUUGGAUGUAGAAGCAUCCAAGAGUCACCCCACAACUAUGAUAGCUGUGAAGAUAGCAGCACUUGAGGCAUUAGAAGCUCUUCUAACUGUGGGUGGUGCUUUGAGGGCUCCAAGCUGUCAAAAGUUGAUAAUCUUUUAAUAAAUAUGGCAGCAGAUUGUUGUAAAGGGGGAUGGGCUAACGAGGAAAGCAACUCAUUCUUGCCUAAUGGGUCGACCUCCACACAUGCAGAUUUGCAGCUUGCAAUAUUGCGUACACUCUUGGCGUCUCUUCUGUCACCAUCUUGUGUGCGUCCUCCACAUUUAGCACAGAGUCUUGAGCUUUAUCGUAGAGGAAGGCAAGAAACUGGAACAAAACUUUCUGAACUAUGUUCCUAUGCACUUUUGGUGUUGGAGGUACUUAUACAUCCUCGGGCCCUGCCACUGGCAGGUUUUUCCUCUGAAAAAUCUUCCCAUGAAGUUAACGGUGGAUUACAGGAAAUAGGGCAUAGAUCUUCUGAUUCAGAUGACGUUACUUUUGAGAGAUGGCUAGGCAGUUGCAAAGAAACAGACACUCCAGCAGAUGGCCCAGGUAAAAAUAUAAACAGCAAAAUGCCUUCUGAAAACUUGGGAGUUCAAGCAGGUUCAAUGGCUACAAAAAGUCCUGGGCAAAGUAAGGACGAGCCAGCAGGAGCUAAUGCAUGUAGAGAUGGGAAACUUUGGUGAUGAAAUAAUUGUCGAAUCACAGCAAGUUCAAGAACCCAUAUUGCAGCUUCAGGGUUUCACAUCUCUUAAAGAUGCCACCGUUUCUGUAGUCCUUGAUGAUCCUAAAAUUCCUGAACUGGAAUUAACAAGGGUAGCUUCAGGCACUGGUGCAUUAGUUUCUACAGAUAAGGAAACUGCACCAGUUGAGGCUGGCAUGGUAGAUAGAGGUAGUGAAAUUGCCUCCACAGUAGGAAGCAAAAAUACAACAGCUAGUGCUCUAAAAGAAACAGUAUUUGGUUCUGAAUCAGAUCAUGACUCAUCAGCAGAGUCUUUGCCAGAUAUUGUGGAUGCUGAUCCAGAUUCUGAUUAGAAUUUAGGUAAGAGUUGUGAUGUAUCUCGAAGUUAAAAGGAGAGUCAGGGACAUGCAUUGUAUUUUAUAGAAGUCUUUUCAUCUUUUCAAAAGAAGAUGGUUUUGGGUUUAGUAAUCGCUUUGCAUUUUAUCAGUCUGGCAGUUGAUGAGAACAUUAUGCCAUUUGUUUGGUUUGUUGAAUGGAAUAUAUUAGUUAUUAUUAUCACUUUAUAUAUAAUUUCAAGGGAAAA